UUAUGGAAUUAAGAAAAGUUUCAAGAAAGAAGGAAAAAAAUAGGCAAAUGUUGAAGAACUGCGAAGAAGAAAAGGAAGAACACCUAGAGAGAGAAUGGAAGAAAAAGUGAAGACUUCAGAAAUACAGAUGUUUCCACUUAAAAUUCAAGAACAAAAAGAAGAUGAACUGGAGGCUAAAACAGAAAAGAAGAAGAGCAAACUCGAACCAGUACUCAGCUGCCUCUCACAGUUCUCUGGCCAGGUGACGUAGUGGAGAAGAGUGACAGCGCAUCCUUGAGCAAACAUUUAUAAGCUCUUGGAACAAUAUUAUGAUCAGUGAAUGAUUACAGAAUGAAGAUUGUAAAUGAAGAUUCCG